AUACCAUUUAAAUACUUGGCUAGCUAGGCAAUUUGAUAACCAUACUUAUCUUUUUGCAACAGCUGCAGUCAUGCAGCUGUACCUCCACAUUUCUAGAGGCUCUCAGGCACAUGAUAACACAUUCUGUCUUCCGUACUAUCAUUUUCCAGCUGUAACUGUGACUGGAUAACAUUUUGUAGCAGGCAGAGCACGCCUAAUGCUAGGAGGUGAAAUCUGCAGUGCAAGAAAAGGGGGAGGAAUGGGAACUGAGGCCUCCCCUAGCAGACUAAAGCCCAGACCUAUACACAUGGCCCACAUGCCCUUAAGUGUCAAUGAGAUCUAACCAACAAGCUCCACCUGAGUAAAUGUUGAGCUCUUCUCCAGAUAGUAGAGCUGCUUGGGUAUGUCAUAUACACAGAAAUACACUGAGCAACAUGAACAUUUCAGCCCUGGUUUCCAUUUUUAUGCUAUUGGUGACAACUGUCAGGAGUGAUGUGCCAACUGAAAAGGUAGUCCAUUCAACUCAUAUGCUCUGCUGUAGGCCACACAGGGCUGCAGCCUUCAGAUUUCAUUCACUGUGACAAGAGGGUUCCACCUCAGUAAAGAACCAAGAGAUGUAGCAUGCAGCAAUGCAGUUAUCAACUCUGCCCAAACCAAACCAGAGAGGAGUUCUCUUUCUCUCCUCAGCAGAAGGGGCUGUGCCACUCACACUGAUGGAUCUGCCUCUUUCCUCGCAGAGAUUUUUCCUUUCUGAAUAGCACAUUAAUUCUUCCUCCCAGUGGGGGAAAAAAAAUGAAAAGACAGCUGCACAGGAAAUUUUGGGCUUCAAUAAAAAGGGAUAUUUCACAACAAACAUUAGCACAUUGUUGAGAAUUCAGAAAAAAAAGUUACUUUUCCAGCUAAAAAGAGCAUGUCAAUGUGUAUUAGCACAAAGUCUGUGUACAAAUAUAUAACUUCAUAUGCUUCAUUAAGAAGUUGUAUCUUAGAUAACUGACUCUUCUUUUGAAUAGACAGUAAAGCAGAAAACUUACAUUUCUUAGCGUGGAUCUCAGCAGACCUGGGUGAAGACUCCUGAUUGUAUUGUCUGCAGAAGAUCCACCCACAGUUAAUCUAUGAAUAAGUGAGUUGAAUGUUCUGUAAUUUUUUUUUUCUUUAGAUACACUGAAAUUAGGAAGACUUUAUCCAACAGGAAGGAAGGUAAAUAGCUGCAUCUCAAAACAACUUCAAUCAUUGUACAGUCUUGUCAUUGGCCAACAUAAUUCUCACAGGCCCAUCAAUGUUGAUGAUAAAUACUAAAUGGUUCUUUCUGGGAAAAGAGUACCAAUGCUUAUUUGAAGAAUGCACACUUCAAGUUUGAAAAGCAAUUUCUGAAAUGGCUUAGUAAGACUCCUCUAUCGCUGCUUAAUAGGCAUGUUCUCUGAUUGCUGCUGUUGAGUUAAAUGUUUGCUCACUUAUGCUGUUUUUUUUUGCUGUUGAGGGUGGAUAACGAAACUGUAAAUGAUGCUCCAGAAAUCUUUCUAAAACUUCAGUGCUAAAUUAAAUGGACAAUACCAUGCGCUAAAUAAAAAGCGAGCUACAAUUAAUUUCAGGGGAGAGCAAGCCAUGCCUGCAGCCUGCUGAUAAUUUACAUUUCCACAAUCGCAUUUUUCACUGAAAUAAAUGCUUCUUUCCCUCCUGGUGGUGUGUGAAAGGCCAAAAUGAAGAGACAGUAAGACUGAUGAUAUGCGUAUGAAUGUAGCGAGCUGCCAGUACUAAAUCAGGUAUGUCUCCAUGUCUCUGCCAGGGGACAAAGUAUCCCAGCAGAGACUUCUGGAACCACCUGCACUCCAGAAAAUGAGGCCACCUCCAGCAGAUGAAGUUUGGCUCCCUUUACUGACAUGAACAGCUAUUUGCUGAGGUACCUUCAGCUUCUGAGAAUAACACUCUGCAUGUGGAGUAAAAUCAGCAGCUUUGAUCUCCGCUUCUUGAUUCGUUUCACCGGAAGAGUUACAUAUCAGUCAGUGCACUUCAUAUCCUCCUACUGAGCUUGAAAAAAGGCAACCAGCAACAAAUCCAUCUAAAUACUCCAAAAUAAUGAGAGCGACUAGCUUUUUAGUAACUUCAAAUGAAGGAAUAAAAUCAGCAAUAUUCUGAUUACAGACAAGCUCUGAAGACAACAUACCCGGACUUUUAAGAGCAUGGUGUUAAACCACAAAUCUGGCAGUGCCCAGUUGCUGAGACACAUCCUGGAACGUAAGUCACUUUCUGACCUGAGAAGGAAAGCAAGUUUACUCACAGACAAAAGGGCAUCUCCCAGUUAGAGAGCAUCAUCUGUUCAUCUCCCAUCCCUCUUCUUGGCACUCAACCAAGGGUGCCCAUGAGGUCUCAACCUGAAGGUGAAAUGAGAGGUUUUUUAGUUUUCUUUGAUUUCCCAUAAGCCUCAAGCACUGGACAUGAACCACCAUCUCAUUUUGAUGUGAGCUGCAGGCAGCUGUCAGAUGGUAG
ensembl:lncRNA